GAGUUUGAUCAUGGCUCAGAAUCAACGCUGGCGGCGUGCCUAACACAUGCAAGUCGAACGAGAAAGGGACUUCGGUCCUGAGUACAGUGGCGCACGGGUGAGUAACACGUGACUAACCUACCCUGGAGUGGGGAAUAACUGAGGGAAACCUUAGCUAAUACCGCAUAAUACCUACGGGUCAAAGGAGCAAUUCGCUUCAGGAGGGGGUCGCGGCCGAUUAGCUAGUUGGCGGGGUAAUGGCCCACCAAGGCAAUGAUCGGUAUCCGGCCUGAGAGGGCGCACGGACACACUGGAACUGAAACACGGUCCAGACUCCUACGGGAGGCAGCAGUGGGGAAUUUUGCGCAAUGGGGGAAACCCUGACGCAGCAACGCCGCGUGGAGGAUGAAAUCCCUUGGGAUGUAAACUCCUUUCGAUCGGGACGAUAAUGACGGUACCGGAAGAAGAAGCCCCGGCUAACUUCGUGCCAGCAGCCGCGGUAAUACG
rnacentral:rRNA from 1 species